GUGCUCCCCCGCCAAUUCCUUUAAGUUUCAGCCUUGCGGCCGUACUUCCCAGGUGGCUCGCUUCACGGCUUCCCUGCGGCACCAGACACGGUCGCGCCAUGCCUGACACCUAGCGAGCAUCGUUUACGGCUGGGACUACCCGGGUAUCUAAUCCGGUUCGUGCCCCCAGCUUUCGUCCCUCACCGUCGAACCCGUUCUGGUAAGACGCCUUCGCCACAGGUGGUCCCACAGGGAUUACAAGAUUUCACUCCUACCCCUGUAGUACCUCUUACCUCUCCCGGUUCCAAGCCUGGCAGCAUCCCCCGAAAGCCUAACGGUUAAGCCGUCAGAUUUCCCGGAGGACUGACCAAACCGGCUACGGACCCUUUAGACCCAAUAAUCACGAUCACCACUCGGGCCGCCGGUGUUACCGCGGCGGCUGGCACCGGUCUUGCCCGGCCCUUGCUAACAGGUGUAUUUUACACACCUGGACAGCCAGCAUAUGAUGCUGGCACUCGGUGUCCCCUUAUCACGGUUUCCCGCAUUGUAAAGUUUUCGCGCCUGCUGCGCCCCGUAGGGCCUGGAUUCAUGUCUCAGAAUCCAUCUCCGGGCUCUUGCUCUCACAACCCGUACCCGUUGUAGGCUAGUAGGUACAUUACACCCACUACUACCUGAUAGGCCGCAGACCCAUCCUUGGGCAGACGAAUCCAUUUUACGCAUAAAGCAUUCCAGCAUAUGUGCGUUAUCCGGAAUUAUCCCCAGUUUCCCGGGGUUAUGCCGGACCCAAGGGCAGGUUAUCCACGUGUUACUGAGCCGU
rnacentral:rRNA from 1 species